rnacentral:tRNA from 1 species
GGGGUAGGGUAUAGCUCAGUGGUAGAGUGUGUGCUUACAAUGCACAAGGUCCUGGGUUCAAUCCCCAGUACCUCCA